rnacentral:misc_RNA from 1 species
CUGCGAGUUCGCGGGAGAGUAAGUUAUUGCCAGGGUUUUUAUUUUAUACUUUAAACAUUGAUUUUAUUUUUUAUGUUUUUAGAUGUUCAUGUUUUUGAAUGUUUUAUUCGAAUAAUAUAAAAAAUAAAAUAUAUAUUGACAUGGAUUAAACAAAGAUAUAUAUUAUUCUAUGUUGUAUAAACAAAUUGGCAAAAUAGAGAUGGAAGAUAAAAAUAUGGUCAAAGUAAUAAGAGUCUAUGGUGAAUGCCUAGG